rfam:Hanseniaspora uvarum DSM 2768 Contig_12, whole genome shotgun sequence.
AAAAAAGACGAAAACUUUGCUGUGCACCAGUCUGAAUUUUUUAUGUUAGAUUAUGUAUACCCAAAUUUCUGAAA